CGGCACCUUCUGGGAGCUUUUCUUCUCUGUUAACUCCUUCCCGGAGCUGCCUGCAAUCAAAGACCACCAUCUUGAACAGCGAAGAUGAGGAGCAGAGGCCUGGAAGUGGUUUACAAACAGAUGACUAUGGAUGCCCCACAUGUGCUGCUUCAUCUGACUGUUGUGUCAGAGGAAAGAAUGCCACUAUCCUGUUUGCCAACGCUAUUAUUGUGGGCCUUUCUCAUGCAGCCAGAAUAACAUAUGAGACACCAGCCUGGAGUGACAGUGCGCCUGACAAAAACAGAAAUAGCCCGGCUCAUAUUAUUUGCAAAAGAAUUAUCCCCUGGAGGUGAUUUUUAA
rnacentral:lncRNA from 1 species